rnacentral:rRNA from 1 species
CUAGGCGGAAGACAUAGUCAGGUGGGGAGUUUGGCUGGGGGCGGCACAUCUGUUAAAUGGCAACACAGGUGUCCAAAGGUAAGCUCAAAGAGAACAGAAAUCUCUUGUUGACCAAAAGGGGAAAAGCUUACUUUAUUUUGAUUUUCAGUAAGAAUACAAACUGUGAAAGCAUGGCCUAUCGAUCCUUUAACUUCUCGAAUCAUGAGAUUAGAGGUGUCAGAAAAGUUACCACAGGGAUAACUGGCUUGUGGCAGCCAAGCGAACAUAGCGACGUUGCUUUUGAUCCUUCGAUGUCGGCUCUUCCUAUCAUUGUGAAGCAAAAUUCACCAUGUGUUGGAUUGUUCACCCAUCAAUAGGGAACGUGAGCUGGGUUUAGACCGUCGCGAGACAGGUUAGUUUACCUACUGAUGAAUAGUAUUGCGACAGUAGACUAAUUAGUACGAGAGGAACCGUUGGUCCAGAUAAUUGGUAAAUACGGUUAGCUGACCAGCUAAUGCCGUG